rnacentral:rRNA from 1 species
CCUACGGGUGGCAGCAGUGGGGAAUAUUGGACAAUGGCGGGAACCCUGAUCCAGCGACGCCGCGUGAGUGAAGAAGUAUUUCGGUAUGUAAAGCUCUAUCAGCCGGGAAGAAAGAAAUGACGGUACCUGACUAAGAAGGCCCGGCUAACUACGUGACAGCAGACGCGGUAAUACGUAGGGGGCAAGCGUUAUCCGGAUUUACGGGGUGUAAAGGUAGCGUAGACGGCGAUGCAAGUCUGAGGUGAAAGGCGGGGGCCCAACGCCCGGACUGCCUUGGAAACUGUAUGGCUGGAGUGCAGGAGAGGUAAGUGGAAUGCCUGGUGUAGCGGUGAAAGGCGUAGAUAUUAGGCGGAACACCAGUGGCGAAGGCGGCUUACGGGACUGUAACUGACGUUGAGGCUCGAAAGCGUGGGGAGCAAACAGGAUUAGAUACCCUUGUAGUC